AUUAAUAAAAGAGAAAUAUUCCCGUAAAUAAAUUUACAAUUUAUCGCUUAAAACUCAGCCAUUUUA
rnacentral:tRNA from 1 species